GCCAACCCAGGGGAGCUCAGGUGCAUGCAAUGAACCUGAGUGACUGGAAGGGGUGGAGCCAGGAUCCACCCCUUACCAGGCCUAAUUUAAGGGUUGGCAGUGGAGGUGAGGGGAUCUUACUAGAGAUCUCUGUGUGCCUGAGGCUUUCUAAAGGUAAGUAGCUUUUCCCAUUUGUUUCUGUGUCUAUGGCUGCUGCAUUUGGGCUUGUCCUCAUUUGCUGUAGCCAGAGACUUUGCUACUCUGUUAUUAUUACUGUACUUUCUCAUUAUAGCAUUAAAUGUAUCAAAUUUAAGGUAUGAAGGUGGAGAAUGAGAUGAAGGUGGUUGUGAUGGUCAGAGAUUGUCUUCUGUAGUGAAAUCUGAGAUUCUCAUCCCUUUGCAAAGCUCUCAGAGAAGUUUUCUCAUAUCAAUAGUUGUAGCAGCUAUUCUGUGCAUGUCUGAAGGCAUACUUAGUGUAGAGGUGAGAUAACUCCUUACCUAUAUCCUUACUUUUCAGCUAGUUGAGCUUGCUGGAACGCGUGCUGGUAUCCUAAGGAACCACCUUGAUCCUCUUCUUGACAGGGAGGCCCUUACUCUCCUGAGAAGACUGUAAAACCCGACUGAACUUUCUCUUUCAAUUUACUUGUCUAAGAAGAAAACAGCUUAAUCCUUUCAAAAUGCUGUGCAGUGGGAAUGAGAGCCCAUCACCUGGAUUAGAGGAGAAAAGUCACACCACCUGCAGGAUGGCAUAACACAAAUGACCCAUCUCUUUGCAUGACAGAUUGUGCUCUGAGUGACAGCUGUCAGCAGGGCACCUGUGAAUCUGAGGAACAGCCAGAGGGACCUUCAUGGAGGUGAAGCAGGAGGAGGUGAAGGAGCAGUGCUACCAUGUUGUAAAGGAAUUGACUCCAUGGGCCUUACUGCUGUGGAUGCUUCCUGUGAUCCACAGCCAGUGAGUUACAUCAUGAAGCUACAGCGGGGGCUGGAAAGACAGCCAUGGGGCCAUCUUCCAGAAUUCAUUCCAGAAACUGCCAGCCCCAAGGCUGCCCGUUCCAGGUAGCAAGACUGAGGACCUGUCCUCUCAGGCUGGCUCUGGUGCUGCUUCCUCCUUUGCUGACCCUCUGCUGUGUAGUGAGGUUGUUGAAAUAAGAGUUAACAGGUAGCCAUGAAGGAUUUGGUGUGGAGCGUGGUGUUGUGCUUGACUAGGUCUCCCAAGGGUAAUGAAGAGAACAGAGAAAAUCUCCUUGAAGAGCAGUACUGUAAACAUAAAAUCAAAACCAAGAAGCAGACUGCCACGGCCAGCCAUAAUCUUGAAAUACUGUCCUAAACUGGAAGGCAUGUAAAUAUUUUGAAGCCUGUUCUAAUGGCUGGGGCAGAACUAGCUUUGGGAAAUGCAGUGAAUCUCAGCAAAUUUCCCAUCGGUUCAGAAGGACAGGGUUUCUUUCGUCAUCCUAAAUUUCCUGAUUUUUUUUUUCCACGUUUCUCCAGAUUUUCUCCUUUAGGAUAGCACAUUGUCCUGGAGGCCAUCCCUUUAUCCUGGUUGCUCUAGGAUCAGAAUUCUUCUCUGUCUGUCAUAGAUGUGUAUACCCUGAAUCAAGUGAUGGUGGCUUUCAUUGUGCUGUAUGCUGCUGCAUUUCUGGGCAGGAUUGAGGAGAAGGAGGAAAUCCAGUGGUGGCUUGGUAAUAGGUUCCAAAAAUCAAAUCAACUUGUGCAAGGCAAAUUUAUGGUGUG